UGGGGAAUUUUGGACAAUGGGGGCAACCCUGAUCCAGCAAUGCCGCGUGUGUGAAGAAGGCCUUCGGGUUGUAAAGCACUUUUGUCCGGAAAGAAAACGCCGUGGUUAAUACCCGUGGCGGAUGACGGUACCGGAAGAAUAAGCACCGGCUAACUACGUGCCAGCAGCCGCGGUAAUACGUAGGGUGCAAGCGUUAAUCGGAAUUACUGGGCGUAAAGCGUGCGCAGGCGGUCCGCUAAGACAGAUGUGAAAUCCCCGGGCUUAACCUGGGAACUGCAUUUGUGACUGGCGGGCUAGAGUAUGGCAGAGGGGGGUAGAAUUCCACGUGUAGCAGUGAAAUGCGUAGAGAUGUGGAGGAAUACCGAUGGCGAAGGCAGCCCCCUGGGCCAAUACUGACGCUCAUGCACGAAAGCGUGGGGAGCAAACAGGAUUAGAUACCCUGGUAGUCCACGCCCUAAACGAUGUCAACUAGUUGUGGGGAUUCAUUUCCUUAGUAACGUAGCUAACGCGUGAAGUUGACCGCCUGGGGAGUACGGUCGCAAGAUUAAAAACUCAAAUGAAUUGACGGGGUC
rnacentral:rRNA from 1 species